GGUGUCUGUCCAGCAGGCGUCCUUCUAUCACACUCCCUGAGGGGCCCGUCAUGCUGAUGUCAAGGAAAUAAGUUCAGGUCUGAGAAAUCAUAGUGAAAUGGGUCCAACCAGAAGAAGAAAUUCCAGAAUUGUGAAUGGCAUAGAAAGCAUGCUGUUAGCCGCAACUCCAAAAGUUCCAGACACACUUAUUCAUCCUUCAGAAAGAUUCCAGGCUACCAAAAGGGCUCUGGAAGCUUUCGUGUCUAUUCAACUAGAAAAGGUGGGGCUGCGGGACAUGAUGCUGAAUGCCUUCCUCCUCAGGAAACAAGCCAGGGCUGACAGAAUGAAGAACCUCAGAGAGAUGUUACCUCAUCCCUUCAGACUGCUCUCUGCAAACAUAAUCCUGAGAAGUGGUUCAGGUAAAGAGUGGAUGAAAUUGGGAAAGUCAAGAGAGACAUUAUAGUUGAAUAUUGCCAGAAGAAGCAGUAUCAGAAGUGACAGCUAAGAGGCACUUGGAAGAGAUCCAUGCCUCUGCCUUCAGACAAUAGCAACCUGACCAAGACAGAAGUUUCUUCUUGACAGAGGUCCUCUAUUCUCUUUGAAAAGUCUCCAGGGACUUAUAUCCUGGAACUUCCGUGAGAGAUGGAACAACUUGGAUUCACCUCUGCACAUCAUCUCUUCUUCUGACUUUUUAGAUUCAACCGCCACAUGUCUCACUAUGCUCUUCGGGAGCAGAUCAUGGCAUACUGCAACAGCCUGAGAGCCCUGCUGGACGAUUUCCCUACCAUCAGAGAUACCUUUUUCGUGGUGGGACAACCACAAGAAAAGAAGGGGUCGAGGGACUCCAAGGAGAGCCUCAAGACUGACCCCAGGUGCAGAAUUUUCUUUAGAGCUUGUUAUUCCCCCUCCCCAUCCCACUUCUCCUAGGGGAGAGGUUUGUUAAGUUUGGUAUGGAAAUCUUGCUCCCUUUAACGUAUUUAACCUUGAUCUUCUGGUCCAGAAGGGGAAAAGAAAGAGCUAACACUCCAAGAAUAAGCAUAUCUUUGUAUUUGAACGCAAAAAGAGUUCUUUGUUUAUGGGCUGUUUGACUGCUUUUUCAAUCUAUGAAGUUUCAUUUACCCCUGGAGUACCCAGAGAUUUUCAUCAGUCACACCCUUUUACAUAAGCCAGCAUCUAAAAUAA